GGAGGGGUGGCCGAGCGGCCGAAGGCGCCGGUCUUGAAAACCGGAAGGCGCAAGCCUCGGGGGUUCGAAUCCCUCCCCCUCCGCCA
rnacentral:tRNA from 1 species